UGGCAGCAGUCGAGAAUCAUUUCGCAAUGGGGGAAACCCUGACGAUGCGACGCCGCGUGGAGGAUGAAGGCCUUAGGGUUGUAAACUCCUGUCAAGAGGGAAUAAGCAAGUGAAGGUACCUCUAGAGGAAGGGGCGGCUAAUUCCGUGCCAGCAGCCGCGGUAACACGGAAGCCCCGAGCGUUGUUCGGAUUCAUUGGGCGUAAAGGGUGCGUAUGCGGCGCGGAAAGUCCGGCGUGAAAGGCAGAGGCUCAACCUCUGGACUGCGUUGGAUACUUCCGUGCUUGAGGACUGGAGGGGAGACUGGAAUUCACGGUGUAGCAGUGAAAUGCGUAGAUAUCGUGAGGAAGACCGGUGGCGAAGGCGAGUCUCUGGACAGAUCCUGACGCUGAGGCACGAAGGCUGGGGGAGCGAACAGGAUUAGAUACCCUGGUAGUCCCAGCAGUAAACGAUGUGAGCUUGAUGUGGGGGGAUUCGACCCCUUCCGUGUCGAAGCUAACGCGAUAAGCUCACCGCCUGAGGAGUACGGCCGCAAGGCUAAAACUCAAAGAAAUUGACGGGGACCCGCACAAGCGGUGGAGUAUGUGGCUUAAUUCGAUGCAACGCGAAGAACCUUACCUGGCCUUGACAUGCAUUGUGUCGUCGGUGAAAGCCGGCUAGUCCUGGAAACAGGACGCUUUGCACAGGUGCUGCAUGGCUGUCGUCAGCUCGUGUCGUGAGAUGUUGGGUUAAGUCCCGCAACGAGCGCAACCCUUGUGGUCAGUUACUAACCGGCUUAGCCGGAGGACUCUGGCCAGACUGCCCUGUCAAACGGGGAGGAAGGUGGGGACGACGUCAAGUCAGUAUGGCCCUUAUGGCCAGGGCUGCACACGUACUACAAUGCCCGGUACAAUGUGAACCGAAACCGCGAGGUGGAGGAAAUCGCUCUUGAAAACCGGGCCCAGUUCGGAUUGGAGUCUGCAACUCGACUCCAUGAAGUCGGAAUCGCUAGUAAUGGCGUAUCAGCAACGACGCCGUGAUACGUUCCCGGGUCUUGUACACACCGCCCGUCACAUCAUGGAAGUCUCCUGUACCCGAAGCACGUGCGCCAACCUUUCAGGAGGCAGCGUUCGAAGGUAUGG
rnacentral:rRNA from 1 species